rnacentral:lncRNA from 1 species
UGUUAGCAUCUGCAUAUCAGAGAGAACAUUUGGCCUUUGCUUUUUUGGAACUGGCUGAUUUCACUUAGCAUGACAAGUGAACUAUCUGAAUAGUUCCAUCCAUUUACUGGCAAAUGCCACAAUUUCUUUCUUCUUGAUGGCUGAGUAAUAUUCCAUGGGUAUAUGUAUACACAUUUUCUCUAUCUACAGAAAUAAUUGUUUAUCACACAGUAAUCCAGAAAUGUAUUUGCCUAAGAAAAUGAGUAUUGACAAAUCAGGCUACCAUCCCCCGGACCAGAAACCUUGAGGCCACCUGUCACCUAUUAGAUGGUUCCAUUUCCAGAAGAUCUUUCUUUCGUCCGUGUCUAUGCUGAUCCAGUCCUCUGUAGCUUCGUGAUGAGGAUCCAUUCUGUGAAAUGUGUCAUUAGGUCAUUUCUUUGCCGUGCACUCACACAAAAAUAAGAUGGCUACAACAUCGCUAGGUGACGUGACAUUAUGGGGCCACCAGGGCUCAUGCGGUCCGUCAUUGAUGGGAAUGUUGUGGGGCUCGUGACUGGGCAUGGCAUUAUUCUGUGAAUGUGUGUUUUUCCAUAAAUCUGCAAUACUUGGAUAAGGUGCUUGCCUUUCCACCCAUGAGAUCUUCUAGAAAGGUCUUUGUCAUUUAAACACAAGUUCAUUCAUAACAUAUUUCUCAUUUCCUGGCCAUCGCCCUGGUCUGCCAGGACGCGGGCACACCUGCACACCAUCCCGUGAU